AGCGAACGCUGGCGGCAGGCUUAACACAUGCAAGUCGAACGCCCCGCAAGGGGAGUGGCAGACGGGUGAGUAACACGUGGGAACGUACCCUUUGGUUCGGAAUAACUUGGGGAAACUCAAGCUAAUACCGGAUAAGCCCUUAUGGGGAAAGGUUUACUGCCGAAGGAUCGGCCCGCGUCUGAUUAGCUAGUUGGUGAGGUAAUGGCUCACCAAGGCGACGAUCAGUAGCUGGUCUGAGAGGAUGAUCAGCCACACUGGGGCUGAGACACGGCCCAGACUCCUACGGGAGGCAGCAGUGGGGAAUAUUGGACAAUGGGGGCAACCCUGAUCCAGCCAUGCCGCGUGAGUGAUGAAGGCCUUAGGGUUGUAAAGCUCUUUUACCCGGGACGAUAAUGACUGUACCGGGAGAAUAAGCCCCGGCUAACUUCGUGCCAGCCGCCGCAGUAACAC
rnacentral:rRNA from 1 species